AUUUUCUGCCACCGAAUACAUUAGCAUGGGAUAAUGGAAUAGGACCCUGUCCUCCUAUUUUCAGUUGGUUUUGGCAGCGCGAGGACUAGGGUAAUGAUUAAUAGGGAUAGUUGGGGGCAUUAAUAUUUAAUUGUCAGAGGUGAAAUUCUUGGAUUUAUGAAAGAUUAACUUCUGCGAAAGCAUCUGCCAAGGAUGUUUUCAUUAAUCAAGAACGAAAGUUAGGGGAUCGAAGACGAUCAGAUACCGUCGUAGUCUUAACCAUAAACGAUGCCGACCAGCGAUUAGGAGACGUUGAAUACAAAACACCACCAUCGGCGCGGUCGUCCCUGGCUCGUCGUCUCACGACGGCGGGCGGGGGCGGYUUAGCCCGAUGGCACCGGUGAAUGACUCCCCUAGC
rnacentral:rRNA from 1 species